AUUGAACGCUGGCGGCAGGCCUAACACAUGCGAGUCGAGCGGAUGAGGGGAGCUUGCUCCCUGAUUUAGCGGCGGACGGGUGAGUAAUGCCUAGGAAUCUGCCUGGUAGUGGGGGAUAACGUUCCGAAAGGAACGCUAAUACCGCAUACGUCCUACGGGAGAAAGCAGGGGACCUUCGGGCCUUGCGCUAUCAGAUGAGCCUAGGUCGGAUUAGCUAGUUGGUGAGGUAAUGGCUCACCAAGGCGACGAUCCGUAACUGGUCUGAGAGGAUGAUCAGUCACACUGGAACUGAGACACGGUCCAGACUCCUACGGGAGGCAGCAGUGGGGAAUAUUGGACAAUGGGCGAAAGCCUGAUCCAGCCAUGCCGCGUGUGUGAAGAAGGUCUUCGGAUUGUAAAGCACUUUAAGUUGGGAGGAAGGGCUGCUGGUUAAUACCCUGCAGUUUUGACGUUACCAACAGAAUAAGCACCGGCUAACUUCGUG
rnacentral:rRNA from 1 species